ACGGCGCACAUACGGGUAUUUCAUCAAUCUAGGCGGCCAAAAGUCAAAAUAACAAAAUUCUAGGAACGCAAAUUUCAUUGAUCACUUGAGGCAGGGGACAUUCCAGGAAACAAUAGACUGCCACCCCCACCCUUUUUCCGUUGCGCGUUUUCCGGAAAAAUCAGUCGAAAGUUGAUCAUUGAUUCUUGUGCAUGUGUCCGUUGUCGGCUAUUUACAAAAUCGUUAACUUUGUGUGUUAAAUUGAAGUUUUCUGUGUUUACCUAGUGAAAAGUAGCAAUGGAUUCGGAAAGAACAGAUAUAAGUGUGUACUUCUGGAGUGAGAAUAGUGACUCGUUAACCUCUCUUUAAUAUUAUGAAAAAUGAAAAUUUACUCAAUUUUGAAGAAAAACUAUGUUUUUUGAGAGACCACCUUCUUAAUAAUGAAGAUCAGUUAAAAACACUGAAAAUCAAUUUUGUUCAUUUUAAAUCGGAAAUAACAACAAAGGUGGAUUAAAUCUCACAAAAAAAGAUGAUUUUUUCUUGAAAAACAACGAACUUUGGCCGGAAGGUACAUUCGAAAUUCCAGUCACAACGGCAAAUCGUCCAGGUCGCCCUUGUAAAUCUUUUGAGGAAUCAAGCGAAAGAACCAAAAGAAGAAAAACGGAAGAGAUCGGAACAGAAGGGAUAAUAUUGAUGUAAUUAAGUUGAAAAUAUGAAAAAUAUGCUGAAGAAACUGCUUGUUUAUACAUAAAACUCUACCCAUGGCACCCAAUGACACCCACACUGCACAAAGUACUUGUACACGGGUCAGAUAUAAUAAAAUGCAUUGUUACCUACAGGACAACAGUCUGAGGAAGCAGCAGAGGCACGGAACAAACAUUUUAGGACGUACAGACAGGAUUACUGAAGGAAAUUCUCUAGAGUUCUGUAAUAGACAUAUUUUAAAUAGGCUUCUUUUAAGCUCAGAUCCAUUUCUUAGUGCCUCAAGGAUAAUAAAGAAAAGAAGAUGUAUUCGUUUCUGCCUGAAACAUUAAUCAUGCUUCUGUCUGGUAUACACCAAACCCAACAGAAUCAGAAAGUUAGAACGAGGAGUUGAAUUAAUUUGAAAAAAUUGUAUUGUUAUUGGUAAAUUAAUUAAGUAAUGUAUGAAUAUGUAAAUAGUAAUGGUUGUAUAUAUAAGCGUAUGUAAGUUUAUGUCAAUAUAUAGUCUAAUGUAGAUAAGUGUACGUAAGAGUAUGUAAAUAUAUAGCCUAUUUUCAGUUU
rnacentral:lncRNA from 1 species